AAGUCGUAACAAGGUUUCCGUAGGUGAACCUGCGGAAGGAUCAUUAACAAUGAAUGGUUAUGGAUGUGUGUGUGUGUGUUCACGCACCGCCGCACAUCCCAUAUAUCAUCUUACUUUUGUGCACUGUGAAUGAUAGCUGGUCGAGCUAUGUGGUGUUGUGUACACAUGCUGCUUUUGCGGUGUGUGUGUGUAUGCCAUGUAGUUUGGCCAGUUGUCGACCAUACAUCAUUAACUAUCGUUACCACUAUAUUGUCAACCUUAAAAAAUAAUACAAACAUAACUUUUAACGACGGAUCCCUUGGCUCCC
rnacentral:misc_RNA from 1 species